AAUUACCUUCAUAAAGGAUGAGGCUAAUAGGAUUAGAGCAAAAUGCUCUUGGCCUGAGUGUCCAUGGUUGAUAUAUGUUGGACAUAGGAGCUCUAAUGACUGGUUUCAAGUGAUCACAUUUGUAGACAACCACAUAUGCCCCCAGAGGAGAGACAGCAGAUUGGUUACUGCAGCUAGAAUAGCAGAUAAGUAUGAGAGAAUUAUGAAGGCCAAUCCUGGAUGGAAAAUCAAAUCUAUCAAGGCAACUGUCAGGUUGGAGAUGUUUGCGGAUGUGCAUGUCUCCAAGAUGAAGAAAGCAAAGGUAAUUGUGAGAAGAAGAGUUAGAGAAGCAAUGCAUGAAGAAUAUGCUAGGGUUUUUGAUUAUCAACUAGAAAUAUUGAGGAGCAAUCCAGGUAGCACUGUUGCAGUAGUGCUAAAUCCAAAGGAAAGUGCCCCUGUUUUCAGAGAUUAUAUGUGUGUUUCCAUGCCUGCAAAAGAGGUUUCAUAGAAGGUUGCAGGAAAGUUGUAGGAUUGGAUAGUUGCUUCUUUAAAGGAGCCCAGAGUGGAGAACUGUUGUGUGCUCUUGGGAGAGAUGCCAAUGGGUAAAUGUAUCCAAUAGCCUGGGCUACUAUAGAGGUUGAGAACAAAGACUCUUGGUUCUGGUUUAUGGCUCUGCUAAACAAAGACUUGGAAAUUGAAAAUCAAGGAGAAGGGUGGGUCUUUAUAUCAGAUCAACAAAAAGGCCUCAUCAAUGCUGUGUCCAAGGUUGUUCCAAAUGCUGAGCAUAGGAAUUGUGAUAGGCAUAUCUAUGCUAAUUGGAAGAAAAAGCAUAGAGAUCAAGCAUAUCAGAAAAGAUUUUGGGCUUGUGCAAAAUCUUCAAACAGGAUACACUUCAACUUGAACAGGGCCAAACUUGCUCAACUCACACCAGAUGGAGCAAGAGACAUGAUGCAAUCAGGCCCAGAAACUUGGUGUUAAGCUUGGUUCAAAGAAGGUUCAUGUUGUGAUUCUAUGGAUAAUAACAUGUGUGAUUUAACAACUGGAUAGUAGAGUACAGAGGGUUGCCUAUUAUCAGCAUGUUUGAAGCAAUUAGAGCAAAGGUCACUGUAAGAAUUCAAGUAAACAGAGCAAUGCCUGCAAAAUGCAAUGGAACUAUUUGUCCUAAAAUUAUGAAAAAGGUCAACAAGCUGAUACAUCUUACUGAGAAGUGUGAGACAAUAUGGAAUGGAAAAGAUGGAUAUGAGGUGAAAUUAGGGCAGCAUGGUUUCAAAGUUGACAUGUAGCUAAAACAUGUUCAUGUAGAUAUUGGCAACUGUCUGGAAUUCCAUGUGUUCAUGCUCUUGCAGCAUCUCAAUGUGGUCCUGAUGAAAUUGUUUCACUCAUUGCAAGCUGCUACACAAUUGAAGCUUACAACAGGACUUAUGAGCAUUGCUUGAUGCCAAUGGAAGGCGUGCCUAGCUGGCCUGUGUGUGACAGACCAAGGCCAGCUGUUCCAAGCUAUGUGCAAAUGCAUGGGAGACCUAGGACUGAGAGAAGAAGAGGUGCAGAUGAGCCUCCAAAACAUCCACAGAAGCUUUCAAAAAUUGGAACAAAAGGUAAGUGCAGUCUGUGUGGACAACCUGGGCACAACAUGAGAAAGUGCACAAGUAAUCCCAACAGGGGGAAAUACAAGAAUAAGAAGAGAAAGAAAGAGACAAAGCAAAAUGAACCAAGAACAUCACAGAGAGUCACUAAGGGAACAUCUACAGGGGACAGGGCACAAUCUUCACAACAGGGCACCCAGCAACAAUCUUCACAUCAAGGCACACAACACCAAUCUUCACAGCAGGGCACCCAAACCAAACCUACAAGUGGAAGGGCCCCUAAACAAGUUAACAAAACUACACCUAAAGCUAAAGUGUGCAAAAGACCAGGAGCAACUUCUAGGCAGAGGAGGACCGUGAGCAUGUUUGAUGAACUUAGGAGUUAGAUACCUGGAACUGUUUACUUUACAAACCUGGUGGCUGUAGCUGCUUGGUUUGCUGGUUCUUUGCUGGAUUAUGAAGUAGUGUGUUGGCUGGAGAACAUGAAGUACUUAUGUUUGUGUGUUUUGUGCUUGCUGGCUAAAGAUUAUGAAGUACUGUUCACAAGUCUGUUUGCAUUCAUAACAGCUAAAUUCAAUUGCUUUUGUGUU